rnacentral:tRNA from 2 species
GGGGUUGUAGCUCAGCUGGGAGAGCGCUUGAAUGGCAUUCAAGAGGUCAGGGGUUCGAUCCCCCUCAGCUCCACCA